UACGGGGGGGGCAAGCGUUGUUCGGAAUUACUGGGCGUAAAGGGCGCGUAGGCGGCCUUCUAAGUCGGACGUGAAAUCCCUCGGCUUAACCGAGGAACUGCGUCUGAUACUGGAAGGCUUGAAUCCGGGAGAGGGAUGUGGAAUUCCAGGUGUAGCGGUGAAAUGCGUAGAUAUCUGGAGGAACACCGGUGGCGAAGGCGGGUCUCUGGGCAGUAACUGACGCUGAGGAGCGAAAGCGUGGGGAGCGAACAGG
rnacentral:rRNA from 1 species